rnacentral:rRNA from 1 species
ACGAACGCUGGCGGCGUGCUUAACACAUGCAAGUCGAACGGAAAGGCCCUGCUUUGUGGGGUGCUCGAGUGGCGAACGGGUGAGUAACACGUGAGUAACCUGCCCUUGACUUUGGGAUAACUUCAGGAAACUGGGGCUAAUACCGGAUAGGAGCUCCUGCUGCAUGGUGGGGGUUGGAAAGUUUCGGCGGUUGGGGAUGGACUCGCGGCUUAUCAGCUUGUUGGUGGGGUAGUGGCUUACCAGGGCUUUGACGGGUAGCCGGCCUGAGAGGGUGACCGGCCACAUUGGGACUGAGAUACGGCCCAGACUCCUACGGGAGGCAGCAGUGGGGAAUAUUGCACAAUGGGCGGAAGCCUGAUGCAAGCAACGCCGCGUGCGGGAUGACGGCCUUCGGGUUGUAAACCGCUUUCGCCUGUGACGAAGCGUGAGUGACGGUAAUGGGUAAAGAAGCACCGGCUAACUACGUGCCAGCAGCGGC